rnacentral:rRNA from 1 species
GACGAACGCUGGCGGCGUGCUUAACACAUGCAAGUCGAACGGAAAGGCCCUGCUUUUGUGGGGUGCUCGAGUGGCGAACGGGUGAGUAACACGUGAGUAACCUGCCCUUGACUUUGGGGUAACUUCAGGAAACUGGGGCUAAUACCGGAUAGGAGCUCCUGCUGCAUGGUGGGGGUGGGAAAGUUUCGGCGGUUGGGGAUGGACUCGCGGCUUAUCAGCUUGUUGGUGGGGUAGUGGCUUACCAAGGCUUUGACGGGUAGCCGGCCUGAGAGGGUGACCGGCCACAUUGGGACUGAGAUACGGCCCAGACUCCUACGGGAGGCAGCAGUGGGGAAUAUUGCACAAUGGGCGGAAGCCUGAUGCAGCAACGCCGCGUGCGGGAUGACGGCCUUCGGGUUGUAAACCGCUUUCGCCUGUGACGAAGCGUGAGUGACGGUAAUGGGUAAAGAAGCACCGGCUAACUACGUG